UUAAUUGAAGAGUUUGAUCAUGGCUCAGAUUGAACGCUGGCGGCAGGCCUAACACAUGCAAGUCGAGCGGUAACAGGGGAAGCUUGCUUCCCGCUGACGAGCGGCGGACGGGUGAGUAAUGUAUGGGGAUCUGCCCGAUAGAGGGGGAUAACCACUGGAAACGGUGGC
rnacentral:rRNA from 1 species